UACGUAGGGUGCAAGCGUUAAUCGGAAUUACUGGGCGUAAAGCGUGCGCAGGCGGUGAUGUAAGACAGAUGUGAAAGCCCCGGGCUCAACCUGGGAAUGGCGAUGGAUACUGGCGAGCUAGAGUACGGUAGAGGAGAGUGGAAUUCCCGGUGUAGCAGUGAAAUGCGUAGAUAUCGGGAGGAACACCAGUGGCGAAGGCGGCGUCUGGGUCGAUACUGACGUGAGGUGCGAAAGCGUGGGGGAGCAAACAGG
rnacentral:rRNA from 1 species